UAGGCAGUGGGCAAGGAGUGGUUACA
rnacentral:piRNA from 1 species